AGCAGUAUAGCGCCCUUCCAUACCUGCCUUUUGGAGUAAUGGUCAUCGCUUUCGAGCUCGAACUUCAAAAUCACUUCAAAUCCACUCAAAUAUCAAAGUUAUCACCCAAAGCGUGAUCACAUCAUAUCGCUACUCUUGGAAGCCUGUUGCUUCAAGUGAGCUCAAGUACUUAUUCUUCAAAUAUUUGACAGCUUAGUGAUUGCAAGACGUUACUUAUGUUUUUCCCAUAUGAGAACUCAAACCUUCACAACCUUCACAAACUAUUGGUUGCCAAACACUCUACAUAGCUUGUGUUGUGCAGAACUCCAUGCACCACCAGUUGUAAGUACUGUUGAAUCAUUGUCUUUCUUUUCUAAUCUUUAAAAAUGGUGGUUCUUUAUAGUUUGUGACAUUAGAUUGCAGUUUCCCCGGCAAUACAUUACUUUCCAUUACCUUUCAAAAGUAAUUAUACUGCAAAUACUACUGUAAAAGCCCUCGCUUAACUUUGAGGAUGGUGUAAAAUAAAUAUUACCUAAUAGUUUCAUUGAAGGGUUGCGCUUGCGAAUGUGUGUUAAAAAGUCUAGGUAAAAUUAUAAAAUCAACGAAAUAAUAAAGUAAAUAAGGUCUGGAACAUGCAUUCAUUUUAAUAAAAAAAAUAAUCAGAGGAUUUAACCAAAUUACUUUGUCUUUACAGUAAUUUUCAUGACCUACACACACCUGCGCACUCGCAUGUAAUCCGCACCCCAAUUUUCAAGGCCUUUUAAAAAAAAAAAAUAAUAAGAAAAUUAAAAAAUAUGCAACCCCAAUAGAAAAAACGAAAUGAGAAACAACCAAAAAAGAAACAGAAGUAUCAAGAUGAGAUAAAUGUUUCCGAUUCACAAUUAAUUUUAUUUAUUGUAUAUAAGUACAUUACAUGCUUUUAUACAUCUGAACUUGAAGGCAAUAAUCACUUUGAAGCUCUUAGCACAACUGUAAAGCUGUUAUUCUCAUCGCUGAACAUUUGUAUUUUCACAUGGAACAUCGAAAUGCGAGUUUGUGUUCGUUCACAGCAAUUACUGCCAUUUUGGAUGAGGUGCAAAGAGACUGGGUCGAGUAAAUUUUCUUAAAUUUUCUCCAACUUGGCAGACAAAAGAAAAUUGCGAAGGCAGCAUAAAUAAUUGCUGUUUUUCUGGGGAGUUUUUGUGCUUAUUUUUUUACAAAACACAUGAGGAAAUUAGAGAUAUUCUUCGUUUGGAAUACCUUUUACUAUGUUAUUUUCUCACCUACAAUUGGAUCGCUGCAUUUUCUUAUUGAUUUCCGCUUUUUAUCAUACUGAGAACAAUAGGUUCUGCGUAUAAUGCUAAACCCGUUUUUUUUCAACAAGGUCAUUUUGGGAGUAAAAAAGUGUGCAUUAUACGCCUGGAAAUAUGGUAAUCUUACCAGCAUGUCUUGAAGUAGGACCAGUUUUUACUUGAUCCAUUGAUAAAAUGGUGGGUCGGUGAACUUUUUCGACUUUGGACGUUGGGCUUGAGGGUAAAUUGCUGAAGGAGUCCAAUGUUCGCGUGAAUGGAAAUUAGGACGGCGCAAGUUCAUCAGAGACAUCUUCUGUUUUGUAGUCACAGUCGGGGAAGGGGCACUUGUAUUUUGGCAUGAUUUGGUGAUUCUUGAGUGUGGUAUUGGCGUUAUUUUGAUGCAUGAUGGUCAAAUCCAACAUGGCUGCCAUGGAAUCCUUUCAUGCUUUCAAUGUGAUUUUCAUGAUAAAUCACUCCUUAAAUCUUGAUCUUCUAAGCUUGGUUGUACUCCUAAUUAAGAGUCCAUCCAUUUUGGUAAUUUAUUUGUGCUAUCUAAUUUGAAUGAUGGAGUAAAACAAAUGAGAAGUUUAAUUGGCUAGUCCCAGUCCCCUGAUGGUAAUAACACAGGUAUGCCAUAAAAUGUUCUAAUCUGAGCAGCAGUAGACAGCAUCAUUGGUUAAUAAAAUAUCAAACUACUGCUUUAUAGUCAGAAUGUUGUUUUACACCCAUAUUUCCAGCAAACUAAAGUUCACAAGACUGUGCAUUCUUUGUACUGAAGGUUCUCAAACGUUAUGUUAUAAGUUAUGUAUUUUGUUUAUUUUGUUUGUUUUUACGUAAGAAUGGCCUGUCCUUAUUUACAGCUUCUCUUAUUUUAACACUAAUAAAUGUCAUUUAUUAGUGUUAAGCAUUUCCCAUAUUACUAGUAAUGUCUUUAUUGAUUCAUAAAAUAAAAGAACAAGGUGUAUCCUAUGUUACAAUCAUUAAAAAGAUAAAAAUAUGUUAAAAAGUGAGACAUUAACAUAGUAUAAUAAUUUACAAUACAAUUUUGAGACACACUUAGUUAAAAAUCCAUCUAUUUACGAAAGUUGAUUUAAAUUGUUCUGUGUUGACCCUAGGGAAUACACAUUUUUUUCUAUGUAGGUUGUAAGUCGUAUCUUUAGGUUGUGGUAGAUAAAAAGAGAGAGGGUGGGCAUCUAAAGCUUUGUUAAAAUUACUAUGAUCUUGUUUUAAAUAUUUUUGUAGAAAUAUAGCGCUGCUUAAAACCUGUGCCAUUCUUGAAAACAUUGUCCCUUUCACAAAAUCGCAUCACAAUGACGACAGCCGAAGCGUGACUCGCGUGGUCUCUUCACCUAUUGAAUUGCAGCCUUUGCAGUUCUCUUCCUUCGCUGGAAGUUCUUGCAUUGUUUGCCUUUGCCAGAAGUCACCAAUUCAACGUACUCAUAUGUGAUUUCGGCAAUCACUGGCACAGUUCUUGGCCUUCCUGUUUGCUUACGGCCACUGAAGUUGUUGGUUAGCUGUUUCUCGAGCGUCUUGCGAAAGUCAAUGUGCGGCAAAUUAGCUCAUGUCACAGCUUUCAUUAGGCACCAAGAUUUCAGCAGAGCAAUGUCAGAUAGAAAAAAGAACACAUACUUCCACCACUUGACGUGUAGACGAAAAGAAACAGUGUAGUAAGAGCGAUUUUCGACACUUAUGUAUUUGCAAUACUUGGCGAUGUCUGUUGAUCUCAAUGGUUUGCAUCUUCCCAUUCGGUCCCUUUCUUCUUCGCUGUACAGUGUCGUCUCCUACGGCCUUGUGAACUGUAGAAAGUACAGUCACAGGUUUGUUCUUGGCUUAAUCUCGCCACAAGACAACGGUGAUAUUACCCAAUUGGGCGAAAGCGGAGUCGCAUUGCUGUUGAAGUUGAGCGUUAUUCCACGAGGAGCUUUAAUAGGGGAAAAAGUGACGUAAGGGUGAGUUCAAACCACCCUUACACUCGAGAUGGUGUUUUAAUCCGCAACACCUUUGAGCAGCGUCGCUUUAUGCGCUUGACAUCUCACAGGGUGUAAUGGGUCCUUGUUUAUAUUUCUAUCAAUAUCUAGUCAAACAGUUUUCAGUUGCGAAGCAUAAAUAACUACACUCAAGGCAAGUAAAUGUUAAACUGAUAAUAACAGCAACAAUAGGAUAUACUCUAUAACUUUAAAACAGUAUUUACAAAACGUUAUUUUUGAACGAAACACUAAAAGAAUGCAAUUUAUAUUUAUUGAGUAAAGCAAACGUUUCUGUAAAUAGGUGUGUUGUAUCUAGUAAUCAAAACUUAUUUAUUGCCGUUUCGUUAGCCGACUCUAUAUUCCGUUAAACGGAUAUUUCAGGCUUUCUAAUUUAGAGUCGAUGCUCACUCGACUGCUUUGUCGCUAGCUGUAUCGCCGAAAUCACGGAUAGAUUACAACGUGCCGCAACAAAGAUAGCCAUUAUACAAAAGGAAAAAAUAUCACUACUUGGUUAAGGCUUGCCCUUUCCGUUAACAACUUCGGGGGCGAUUUAUGAGUCUAUGUGGCUCAAGUGGUGGGCCCGUCGGUACGCGGCAUUUAGCCAGGCUUGCAUUGACGGCGCUCACGAAGUCUAUAAUCAUCGGGUUGAAAUUGCCAGCUUCUCCCUCCAGGACCACAUUGUUCCCCUUGAGGUCGUUGUGGACAAAGCCCCUGCCAUGUAUAAAAUGCAGUGCAUCCGCAACUCCCGCAAAAAUUGACCCCCAGUCUGCUAAGGCGAUACUAGGUUUUGGUUUAGUUGCCUUGUAGAUUGUUAGAUUUGUUUCGUCUCCAUGAUAGAGCGUAACGAGGAGGGCAGGCUUUUCCUUGCUGCAAAUGCCAAACAAGUAAGGCAGCCCUUUGUGGUCCCCAAGCUGAAGUAUCACCUCUGCCUCUCUUCUCAGGGCUUUUUGUAAGCUGGCCGGGUCCUUUUUCCCGUCGCCGUCUUUAACUUCCUUUAUCGCUACCGAGGUGUUUUCACGGUAUUUCCCUAGGUAGCAUACACCGAAUGUACCACUACCUAGGGGUGACUCCUUCUUUAGCAACGAACGAUCGAUCGAUCUCCAUUAUCGUGUUUCUUCUCUUCACGGGAGCGACUUCCUUUACUUCGCUCCUUCUCUUUAGCGGCGGUAGGUCGAUAGGCGCCCCCUUUUAUGCGGCGGAUUCUUCGACGAUUGUGAAGCGGCCGGCGGGUCGAUGGGCGCCCACUUUUUUCGAAGCGGGUUUACUGACUUCCAGAGUGCGGUUUGCACCAUCAUUUUCUUACCACGAGACCAACUUACGGAGCUGGUGUGCGGUACUAUCUCCGAGUUUUUCUCGACUUCCAUAUCGGCACUGGGCUCUGCGUUCCUCCAUGAACUUUAAACGCUUCUUUCUCUGGGCAUUUCUAAUUUCACUUGAAACGUCAGAAUCAUCAACCGACGCAGUGUUUUUUUCCUGACGAGCCUGCUUUCUCUUCUUCCAUUGCUUUUUUUUAAGGUUCCUGAUAGCUCUGAAUUUUAGCCGGUCGGGAUGACCCAUUUUUGAUGUAGAAGUUUUAUCUACGACGUUAUUCAUGACAGUAAGCUUGUAGCGAUCGAAGAUUCUCUAUUUGAUUUUCAUAGGUGACUUUUAGCCCGAUAUAUAGUCUUUAGCAUCGCUUGCUUCAAGCGGAAAUAGGCGUGUUCUGUUUUAACUACAAGACAUCAGCGGAUUUACGUAUAGGAACAGGCAGUUAUUACAUCUUGGUGCUACAUUUUUCCUACGUGACGAGUUUGGCGUGUUUAUUGGGGCCGUGGAUGUAGUGGAUUGCAUCCGUGAGUGGCCUUUUUUUUCGUGAAUCGCGAGUGUGUAAAAUCGGAAUUUCGUGAUCGGUGAUGGCUAUCAUAACCAUUAUUCGUGAAUGGCGAAAUUUGGUCAGAACAUAACUAUGGUCAGCGAUCUCUAUGCUGAAUCAUUGUUUUCUGUGGGCAUACUAGCUUUAUCCUGAAACUUGAUUUCCUAUCUUUAUGCUUGGAACUGUUACGGAUGAUCGCAUCAAAAUUAAUCACCAAAUAGAUUUCAAUGGACUAUCAAGGUUUGUUUGAUUGGUUAUGCCCGCUGCGUAAAGAAGACACAGAGAACUUCGUAGCUAUCAUCCGGAAAUGACGCCUUUGUCCUGGACACACGAUAACAAACUAAAGAAACCCUCUCGUACGCCACCAAGCAACGAUUCGAGACGAUGCCCUCUUUCUCAUUUACCGUUUCUUGUGCUAAGUGCACAAAAUCAUUUACUACUGCAAAUGCCUUCUCAAAGCAUUGGAGACACAGCCAUGGAACAAGUCCAGAACCUGAAGUCACGUUUAUACUAGUUUUUCUUUUCAGCAUUUACUUGAGCUGCAUACAAGUUCGUUUGAUCGAUGAUGAUUUCUAUCAAUUCGGGUGUAAAAAAAACCCGAGUUCAGAGUCGUUAUUUGGACCAUUCUAGGGUCGAACAAAAGGAAAAAACUUCGGUUCUUCAAUUGAAGUAGCAGUUCUAGACCAAACCAGUUCUUUGGGACGCAAAAUACGAACAUUUUCAUUCAUCAAAAAGUUACUACAAUCGCCGUAAUUAUCGUCUUCAUAACCGUUAAAUUCUUCCGAAUCGCUGUCUGAAUCAUCGAAAAUAUACCGGACUAAGUCCUUGAUUUCAAAUGCAAGUUCUAUGGACGAGAAUCGAUCGGGAGCAGGCGAAGAAGUUAAAACUUUGCAGAUAAAUUUCGAGUUGAUCGCUUUGUCGUAUCACUUUGCAGUGACUGAAAGAAACAUGUCAAAUUUCAUGCCUUAUAAACCCAACGUGUCGGUUUCCAUAUAAGGCAGUCCCUUUGUCUUUAUGGGCAUAUCGAAAAUACGAAAAAUUCUGUAUCUAGGCGUACGAGACGGUCUUUCCAAUACGGAAAAUUCCGUUUCCGCGAGAGAGUUGUUUAUGUCAAGGACGUCAAGAACAAGGUGUAAAAUGUAACAGACUGCUUGUGAUGUGGACUUUCCUCCGACCGCGAACUGCUUGGGAUCUAGUUUAACUAGGAUACGCGGAAGGAGUCGCACGUAGGUGAACCGUUCCAAUACUUUAGCUAUUUGACAAGUUAAGGAGAUUGGGCGAAUAUGGUUUUCAAUGACUGAGGCAGGACGCUCUUUAGGAAUAGGGUUGACAGCUGCGCAUUUUAAGAGCCAGGGUAUGCGGAGGGAGGAGUUAUACAACUCGGCGACAACAGGUGCAAGUUCGAAACCAAAUAGGGCCGAGAGCCUUCCUUAGCUUGAUGGAACGUAGUGCUGCAGUAGCUUCCCGCGGGGUAACAAAUAGAUCGUCGGGAAUCUCAGUGACAGAUAUCGCGUCGACGUCGUUAGUAGACAAGGGGGCGAACUCAGACGUAAGCCCUGUGAAAAAGGUGUUACUGUAAUAUUUUCACAUAACUGUUGGAUGGUGACAAUGUUAGUCCCGUCAAUUAACUGGUUGAACCAUUGGUUGUCAUUUCGAGACAUCCCAGACAGUGACUUGACCUCCAUCCACCACCUGUCAGGGUUGGACUGUUUAAGUGUUGCGACCUUGGCGUUGUAGAAUCUUUGUUUGCAGUCCUUAAUAUGCACUUGGACUUUGUUACGCCAGUAAAGAAACUGCUGAGAAUCUUUUCCGAAAAGCAACAAGCAUUUCUGUCUCUUAGAAAUCAUAGCUUUGAUGGCAGAGGACAGCCACGGCUUGUUGUUUCCAUACAUACGACACACCUUAGAGGGAAGGAAUGUGUUAAUAGCGCAAGAUUCUAGGGUGAAAAGAUAGUCCCAGCUUAAACUUGUGAUCCAACGACCAAAAGCAACCAGCGCUGUCUCUAGUGUCGCGCUUUGUGACCGACUUUUUUAUGGCCUUGGUUGAGUCUAUAUGCAGUCUUAUCAAAACACAGAAAUGGUCGCUGGACCCGAGCUUAGGAAGCUGGUCGGGGGACGCCAGUUGAUUAGGUAGAUUUGUUAAGCACCAAUCAAGAGUUCCCGUGUCACGUGUUAAAACUUUGAUUAUCUGGGAAAGCCCGCACGCUCGGUUGAACACCACUGGGGAAAUUUUGAGUUGGGAUUAAAAUCCCCGGCGCAUAAACCAAAUAAUCAGGAUGGCUGGCCUGAUAAUCAUCGACAAAGCUCUGUACAUAAUUAUACAAGUUGUCGUUGUCCUCGGCGGUAGCUUGUGGAGGGUGGUAGAUAACUCCGAUCAGAAGGGAUGUAAUUGGUCUCGGUAAACGCCGCGGGCGGAGUUGAAACCACAAGGUUUCGGUGAUAGAACUGACGAGAUCGAGAUUGGCCAAUCUCUUAUAAGGAAUAGAUGAGUGAACGUACGCCGCAACUCCACCAGCGUGUCUCGAACGAUCGUUCCAUAUGAAAUUAUACCCAGACAUUGCGACUGAGGCAUCUGAUAUUUGGUCGGAAAACCAGGUUUCCGUAAUGCAUAGAACGCAGCCAGAGUUCUGUACUUUAUUUGUUAGUGAGCGAGCGUUGCAGACGAUCAGCGAUGGAAUUGCCGGGCGAGACGAAUUUACAGACCGUAGCUCUUUUGCCGGUUCUGUAGGACUGUUUACAUCGUCAUCCAAAUCGUCAAUGGGCUCAUGUUCGAGAGGGCGAUCAAGGGUGGAUAAUUACCAUUGUUCCUGUGCUAAAGGGCUUUGUACGCGGUCAGCCAGGCGUGGGGCGUUUCUUCCCGUUUCGGAUGCGACAGUUGCAUAUCGAGCAAAACAAGAGGAUUCAGACGAUAGCAAAAUUUCUCUACUUUUUUAUCUCUUACAGGCCUUUUUGACAUGGAAGCGGUGGAAGCGGGAGAGAUUGUUCGAUUUCAGGGUGUUGAUAAGCUCGGAGGUCAGUACACUUCUGUCUUCAAAUCCAUGUAGUCGCUUUUAAGCGUUAACUUAAAAGUCAAGUUAGCUUAAAAGUCAACUUAAAAGUUGACUUCUUGAAUAAGAGAGUGGUGUGGUACUGGAAUGGUUGGUUUGGCGAAUAUGCAAAUUUCCCUCCAAAGAUGUACUCCUAGGGUCCAGUUGAUCGGGACCCGGGGUUAGAAGAGACAUCAACAAAAACGGUAAUGUAGAUCGGUGGAUCAUGCCCCGGUACUACCAAAAUGUAAAGCCAUGCUUAGACCAUUUUUCAAUAGGGAUCUUCGACCUGGAAUGUCCAGGUGGUGUGAGAGAUCGAUGUUUAGGUACUAGAGCUUGACUGCCUAAGAGAGUGAAUUAUCUCUGUAAAUAUACAUGAUAGCUUGAAGAUUUGUAGUCUUGUCGACGAGGGAGCCUCCGAUAGGGUGAGAUUCCAUUAUUAGGUUGGGUAGUAAGGUUGCCGAAAACCACUAGAUAUGAUAAACGCAGAGCAAGCAAAAACAUGGCCGCCAUAUUCAGCGCCUGUGCAGACUGAGAAUGUCCACCUUUGACAGAGGGUUAAUGUGCGCUUUCUUUCACAACUCCGGCCAGGUGUGGGUGGCCAGGGAGAGGUUCCAAAUCCAUGUGAUAAUCUUUGUGAAUAUCUCCGCAUGAUCUUUCCAUACCCAAGCCAAGAUCUCUUCUGGGCCAAUGUCCCAAACCUGCCUCUCUUGAAUGUUUCGGUGUCCUCUGCAAUCCCUGAUCUGGACUUAGGACGUGUGGGUUUUAGCUUGAUUCUUUGUGGCAAAAUAACACCUGUAUGAUCCGUUUUCAUUAGUGCUCGAAACGAAGAGUUCAGGUUUAUUCAUGAAACAGUUUUCUAGGCAGGCUCCACCACGUGUGGGGAAACUGACCAGCGCGUUCCAACCUGACAUGGCUUGGAGCUGUUGUGUAUGUAAACGGUUGACGUCACAGCCACAUACCACCACGGUGUUUUGGUGUUUGUCUAGUUCUGCAUCAGCGAGGCCAAUUACUGUAUGUAUUUCAUCAGGUCUCUAUCUUUGUAUUUGUGUUUUGGUAGAUUAUAAAGACCAAUCGCAAGAAAGUGAUUCCCAGAGGGAAGUAACAGUGUCAAACUGGCCAAUUGAUACAGUUUGGAACGGUAGACGCUCAAAACAUUGAGAUUUCCCUGACAUAAAUUGCAACUGCAUUUCUGUCUAGUAUCCGAGUGUAUCCAGGAAUAUUGACUGUCGAGUCAGGCAUAUUUGUGAAAAGAUAUGUUUUCGACAUGACGCAAAUGUUGAGGUUAUUGCUCCUAAGAUCCGCCUCGAGCGCAGCCCUGAUUUGUUUUUUUAAACAAAUUGAGAAAUAGGGAGCCUGUAGUAUUUGACUACACAUUGAUGAACCACAUCCCUAAAUCAGUAGAACAUCAUCCAUACCUAGGCGUCGAGCUCUCGAGAACACUUGACUGGAGCUGGCAUAUAAACAACAUAGUGUCCAAAGCCAACCAGACCUUAGACUUUCUUAGGCGUAACUUUAGCAAUUGCCCAGAGAACAUUAAUGAAGCUGCCUAUAAAUCGCUAGUUCGUCCACACUUAGAGUAUGCCAGCUCUGCCUGGGAACCGUUAUUAAAGAAACACGUCCAACAGAUUGAGAAGGUUUAAAGGAGGGCGGGUCGUUUUGU